UACGAAGGGGGCUAGCGUUGUUCGGAAUCACUGAGCGUAAAGGGCGCGUAGGCGGCUUUGUAAGUCGGGGGUGAAAGCCUGUGGCUCAACCACAGAAUUGCCUUCGAUACUGCAUGGCUUGAGACCGGAAGAGGUAAGUGGAACUGCGAGUGUAGAGGUGAAAUUCGUAGAUAUUCGCAAGAACACCAGUGGCGAAGGCGGCUUACUGGUCCGGUUCUGACGCUGAGGCGCGAAAGCGUGGGGGAGCAAACAGG
rnacentral:rRNA from 1 species